rnacentral:rRNA from 1 species
CAGUAGCCGCGGUAAUACGGAGGGUGCAAGCGUUAAUCGGAAUUACUGGGCGUAAAGCGCACGCAGGCGGUUUGUUAAGUCAGAUGUGAAAUCCCCGAGCUUAACUUGGGAACUGCAUUUGAAACUGGCAAGCUAGAGUCUUGUAGAGGGGGGUAGAAUUCCAGGUGUAGCGGUGAAAUGCGUAGAGAUCUGGAGGAAUACCGGUGGCGAAGGCGGCCCCCUGGACAAAGACUGACGCUCAGGUGCGAAAGCGUAGGGAGCAAACAGGAUUAGAUACCCCUGUAGUCCCUGUCUCUUAUAC